rnacentral:rRNA from 1 species
GAAAGUACUUUGGCCGGUAUUAGCUGAGAGGGUGGUGCAUGGCCGUCGUCAGUUCGUACUGUGAAGCAUCCUGUUAAGUCAGGCAACGAGCGAGACCCACGCCCACAGUUGCCAGCGUACUCUCUGGAGUGACGGGUACACUGUGGGGACCGCCGCUGCUAAAGCGGAGGAAGGAAUGGGCAACGGUAGGUCAGUAUGCCCCGAAUAUCCCGGGCUACACGCGAGCUAUAAUGGUUGGUACAAUGGGUAUCUACCCCGAAAGGGGACGGGAAUCUCCUAAAACCAAUCUUAGUUCGGAUUGAGGGCUGCAACUCGCCCUCAUGAAGCUGGAAUCCGUAGUAAUCGCGUUUCAACAGAACGCGGUGAAUACGUCCCUGCUCCUU